GAUGAACGCUGGCGGCGUGCCUAAUACAUGCAAGUCGAGCGAACGGACGAGAAGCUUGCUUCUCUGAUGUUAGCGGCGGACGGGUGAGUAACACGUGGAUAACCUACCUAUAAGACUGGGAUAACUUCGGGAAACCGGAGCUAAUACCGGAUAAUAUUUUGAACCGCAUGGUUCAAAAGUGAAAGACGGUCUUGCUGUCACUUAUAGAUGGAUCCGCGCUGCAUUAGCUAGUUGGUAAGGUAACGGCUUACCAAGGCAACGAUGCAUAGCCGACCUGAGAGGGUGAUCGGCCACACUGGAACUGAGACACGGUCCAGACUCCUACGGGAGGAAGCAGUAGGGAAUAUUCCGCAAUGGGCGAAAGCCUGACGGAGCAACGCCGCGUGAGUGAUGAAGGUCUUCGGAUCGUAAAACUCUGUUAUUAGGGAAGAACAUAUGUGUAAGUAAAUGUGCACAUCUUGACGGUACCUAAUCAGAAAGCAACGGCUAACUACGUG
rnacentral:rRNA from 1 species